rnacentral:rRNA from 1 species
UGGGGAAUAUUGGACAAUGGGCGAGAGCCUGAUCCAGCCAUGCCGCGUGCAGGAAGAAGGCGUCAUGCGUUGUAAACUGCUUUUGCCAGGGGAUAAAAAGACCGUGCGCGGUUAAUUGAAGGUACCUGGUGAAUAAGCCACGGCUAACUACGUGCCAGCAGCCGCGGUAAUACGUAGGUGGCAAGCGUUGUCCGGAUUUAUUGGGUUUAAAGGGUGCGUAGGUGGCCCUGUAAGUCAGUGGUGAAAUAUCUCAGCUUAACUGAGAGGGUGCCAUUGAUACUGCAGGGCUUGAGUACAGAUGAGGUAGGCGGAAUUGACGGUGUAGCGGUGAAAUGCGUAGAUAUCGGAAGGAACAUCAGUUGCGAAGGCGGCUCUCUGGACUCAAACUGACGCUGAGGCACGAAAGCGUGGGUAGCGAACAGGAUUAGAUACCCCCGUAGUCCCUGAGCGGGCUGGCAAGGCGCAU